rnacentral:lncRNA from 1 species
ACCGAGAUUGACGAAGAAAUACAAGUUUCGAGGAUGCGGAUUAUCGUAAAUCGAACGGGUACGAGAUGGACAUGGAGACGAAGCUGAGCAAUUUUCUCUCAAUGACACCAAUGAUCUUGUAAAUCUUGGACCGUGCUUGCAACGAUCUUGUGAACGAUUCAUGUUACUCGGCUAGGCGUACCAUCACUUGUCGCAUUUACAAGGUAAAUAAACUGUGUAGCUGUAGCUGUGUAGCUU